UAAAAGAGGGAGAAUCCCACAAGACCUUGCUUCUAGAAUCCUCUGCUCUAUAAAGUCUCUUAGGAAAGGAGUGUGAGGAUGCACUCAGAUGCAAGAGGUGUCUAGAAUUGUUUGGUUUUAGAAAUCUCCUUCCCUGAGCCAUCUGGACUAAAGCAUAUGGCACAGAAGAAUGAGGAUGGAGUUGGGUAAUACUUUGGGACCAUGGGCAGACAUAGAGUAGAUUCCAGGUUCAUUUACUCCCUCACGUGUUCAUUUAUUCCAUACAAUUUUGCAGAGCUUUUUUCAUGGGCUUCCUGCAAAGCAUCUAACCGCCAACCCCAGCGUCUGGUUGUCACUGUCUGGCCGCAGAACCAGCUUUCCCUGGCUGGACCUGUCUUCAGAGUCAGGUUGCUUGCCUUGCAGCCCCGCACCCACUCACAUUCUCCUUGCUCUCUAGGUCCAUGGGGUGAGAUCGCUGACUGACAGAAGGAAGCUGUUCUCUGGGGUGUGCGUGACCCAAAGACCAAUGGAGGGAGGAAGAAUAGAUGCUCCAAAUGGCCACUGCACUUCUCCAAUGUCUGAAGGUGAGAUUUCCAUAGGGGCGAGGUGUACAGUGAUCUUGUCCAGCUAAAGUUUCCCACCUCCCUAAGGAGUUUGUAAGUUUCUCAAGCGUAACGAUCUGAAUUCUCUUAUCCUGAAGGACUGUUCACACAGUAGGAAUGUGUUGAAUGCAACUGAAUAAAUGAUUUAGGCCAUAAAUUUGAGGACUGGAUCAUUCCCUUUAAGCUCCUGGUGGGUUAGGCAGAUGCCAGAGAGGCUUCCCUUGUUCUUCCAUAAUAUGUUGGCUUGCAGUUCUUUAUUUUAACUAAAAGUGAAAGGCACAGAUCAGAACAGCAACAAAGAUGCUGCCCUUGAAGACUCAAUCCUGUUAAAUUCACCCCAAGCAGUGCCUCGUUUAAAUGGGCUGCCACUUACCAGGGUUUGUAAAACCAAGUUCAGAAAGAACCAGAAUGGAAAUGCCCCCUCGGAUCCUGAAUUUCUUCCUUUCCCGCUCAGGGGUUUAAAGAGGCCCGACACUGACAGAGCUUUCGAAGCCUUUCCUGCUCUCUGGGACUCACCUGAGUUUAGUCACGUUUCUGUUGGCGUAAGGAAAAGCAUUUUGCAACCACAUCCACCCAAUGAUAGGAUGGGAGGCCUCUC
rnacentral:lncRNA from 1 species